rnacentral:tRNA from 1 species
GCGCCCGUAGCUCAACGGAUAGAGCAUUUGACUACGGAUCAGAAGGUUAGGGGUUCGAAUCCCUUCGGGCGCGCCA